rnacentral:rRNA from 1 species
CCCAUCAACGCCGCGUGAGGGAUGAGGGCCUUCGGGUUGUAAACCUCUUUUCUUGGGGAAGAAUUCUGACGGUACCCGGGGAAUAAGCCUCGGCCAACUACGUGCCAGCAGCCGCGGUAAUACGUAGGAGGCGAACGUUAUUCGGAUUUACUGGGCGUAAAGGGAGCGUAGGCGGUUCCUCAAGUCGGAUGUGAAAUCUUCUGACUCAAUCGGGAGGGGCCAUUUGAUACUGGGGGACUUGAGAGCAGCAGAGGAAAAUGGAAUUCCCGGUGUAGCGGUGAAAUGCGUAGAUAUUGGGAAGAACACCAGUGGCGAAGGCGAUUUUCCAGGCUGUUUCUGACGCUGAGGCUCGAAAGCGUGGGGAGCGAAGCGAUUAGAUACCCGGGUAGUCCACGCCCUAAACGGUGGACACUAGAUAUAGGAGGUAUCGACCUUUCCUGUGCCGAAGCUAACGCUUUAAUGG